GCCGGGCACGGUGGUGCAUGCCUGUAAUCCCAGCGGCUUAGGAGGCUGAGACAGGAGAAUCGCAAGUUCAAAGCCAGCCUCAGCAACUUUGGGGCACUAAGAAACUCAGUGAGACCCUGUCUCUA
rnacentral:sRNA from 1 species